UGGGGAAUUUUGGACAAUGGGCGCAAGCCUGAUCCAGCCAUGCCGCGUGCGGGAAGAAGGCCUUCGGGUUGUAAACCGCUUUUGUCAGGGAAGAAAUCUUCUGAGUUAAUACCUCGGGAGGAUGACGGUACCUGAAGAAUAAGCACCGGCUAACUACGUGCCAGCAGCCGCGGUAAUACGUAGGGUGCAAGCGUUAAUCGGAAUUACUGGGCGUAAAGCGUGCGCAGGCGGUUUUGUAAGACAGAGGUGAAAUCCCCGGGCUCAACCUGGGAACUGCCUUUGUGACUGCAAGGCUUGAGUGCGGCAGAGGGGGAUGGAAUUCCGCGUGUAGCAGUGAAAUGCGUAGAUAUGCGGAGGAACACCGAUGGCGAAGGCAAUCCCCUGGGCCUGCACUGACGCUCAUGCACGAAAGCGUGGGGAGCAAACAGGAUUAGAUACCCUGGUAGUCCACGCCCUAAAACGAUGUCAACUGGUUGUUGGGAAGGUUCCUUCUCAGUAACGUAGCUAACGCGUGAAGUUGACCGCCUGGGGAGUACGGCCGCAAGGUUGAAAACUCAAAGGAAUUGACGGGGUCAUAGCUGUUU
rnacentral:rRNA from 1 species